CACCUCUGACAACGAAAUACGAAUGCCCCCAACUGUCCCUAUUAAUCAUUACUUCGGUUCCAGAAACCAACGGAAAAUAGAACCAAAGUCCUAUUCCAGUAUUCCAUGCUUAUGUAUCCAAGCACAAGCCUGCUUUGAACACUCUAAUUUUUUCAAAGUAAACGUCGCGUAUCCAACGCACACUCAGUUAAGAGCACGCGAAGUCUGCGCGAAGAAGGCCAACGUCGACAGUGACAUACCUUGCGGCUGACCGUCGCCGUCGAGCCCGAAAUCCAACUACGAGCUUUUUAGCUGCAACAACUUUACAAUACGCUAUUGGAGCUGGAAUUACCGCGGCUGCUGGCACCAGACUUGCCCUCCAAUUGGUCCUCGUUAAGAGAUUUAAAUUGUACUCAUUCCAAUUACAAGACUACAAAAAAGCCCUGUAUUGUUAUUUUUGUCACUACCUCCCCACGUCAGGAUUGGGUAAUUUGCGCGCCUGCUGCCUUCCUUGGAUGUGGUAGCCGUUUCUCAGGCUCCCUCUCCGGAAUCGAACCCUAAUUCUCCGUCACCCGUUACAACCAUGGUAAGCCACUACCUUACCAUCGACAGUUGAUAGGGC